CUGGACGAAGGAGUUUACAGUCUUCAUACCACUCACGAAAUAAACAGCCAUCAUGUCUGACAAACCUGACGUAUCUGAAGUUGCAUCUUUCGAUAAGAGCAAGCUGAAGAAGACCGAGACCCAGGAAAAGAACCCUUUACCAACAAAAGAAACAAUUGAACAAGAGAAGCAGGCGUGAGGCGCCC